AGGACAGGAAUCAAUUGAAGGUAAUAUUAUAUUAUUUACUAAGCUUUAUAGCACUCGCGUUGUGUAUAAUCUAUUAGUAUUCUUGUUCUCCGUUUUUCUUUUAUUUCUCUGUUUUCUCGCAUUUAAUGUAGUGUAUCUGUUGUGCUUAUUUGGGUUGUUCCGUUUGACCGUUGUUUUUUCUAUAGUGUGAGUAUAGGCGUUCUCACGAGAGGAUAUGGGGGAUGGAUCCCCUCAUGGUUUUUUUUUUUUAGGUUAUAUGGAGUUUCCUGUUUAACUAACAUUUAGUGAUAAUAAUCAAAUAAAUAAAUAUAAUUAAUAAACAUUUUUUUCACUAGUUAUCAUUUUCCACAAUAUUCGUAUACUGAUUACAGACCACGCACGAUUAAAGACCGUGUGUGUACUUCAUGUGUCUGUGAUUACAGAUUAAUAUCUUUAUUGCGGUUCUAGAUUUUAAUCGGCUAAGUUCAUAUAUUAUUGAUAUAAACAAUAUAUGGAUUUCAUGAUACUACCACCGAAUGAAAGUGUUAGGUAACACUAGUACAGUAACGACCACGGUGGAGAUAGGAUAGACAGCACGUUUGUUUGUUUUCUUCAUUAUCGCUUAAAUUCAUUAUUUCUAUAUAAUAUACUUCUUAUAUAAUAGCAUCAACUUAUCAGUAAUGUCAAAGUCUUAUCUUUAGCUAGCUAUUCUUGUUGCCGAUAUGUUUCCGAAUUAUUCUGAUUUAAAUACUAGGGAUAACAGUUUUUACAGGGACAGGG